UACGGAGGAUCCAAGCGUUAUCCGGAUUUAUUGGGUUUAAAGGGUGCGUAGGUGGCUUUUUAAGUCAGGGGGUGAAAGACGGUAGCUUAACUAUCGCAGUGCCUUUGAUACUGAAGAGCUUGAAUAAACUAGAGGUAGGCGGAAUGUGACAAGUAGCGGUGAAAUGCAUAGAUAUGUCACAGAAACACCAAUUGCGAAGGCAGCUUACUAUGGUUUUUAUUGACACUGAGGCACGAAAGCGUGGGGAUCAAACAGG
rnacentral:rRNA from 1 species